GUAAUCGCGGAUCAGCACGCCGCGGUGAAUACGUUCCCGGGCCUUGUACACACCGCCCGUCACACCAUGAGAGUUGGCAAUACCCAACGUACGUGAUCUAACCCGCAAGGGAGGAAGCGUCCUAAGGUAGGGUCAGCGAUUGGGGUGAAGUCGUAACAAGGUAGC
rnacentral:rRNA from 1 species